UAGCUUUUUUAUUAGUUAUAAGCAGAAUUACACAUGCAAAUAUCCUUAAGCCAGUGAAAAUGCCCUUUAGAUCAUUCCGAUAUAAAGGAGCGGGUAUCAAGCACACAUAUAAGCAGCUCACGACACCUUGCUUAGCCACGCCCCCACGGGAAACAGCAGUGAUAAAUAUUAAGCCAUGAACGAAAGUUUGACUUAGUCAUGCAAUAUAAUUAGGGUUGGUAAAUUUCGUGCCAGCCACCGCGUCAUACGAUUAACCCGAAUUAAUAAACCACCGGCGUAAAGAGUGUUUAAAAAUAUAACAAAACUAAGAUUAAAUUCUGUCUAUGUUGUAAAAAACCACAGACAGAUGUAAACCCAAUAAACGCAAGUAAUCUUAUUGUAUCUGAACACACGACAGCUAAGACCCAAAGCUAAGCUAUAAACACAGAACAUUAAAUUAAACAAAAUGUUUCGCCAGAGAACUACUAGCCACAGCUAAAAACUCAAAGGACUUGGCGGUGCUUCACACCCGCCUAGAGGAGCCUGUUCUAUAAUCGAUAUUCCCCGAUAAACCUUACCACUUUUUGCUAAUACAGUCUAUAUACCGCCAUCUUCAGCAAACCUUAACAAAGUAUAAAAGUAAGCGCAAUAAUAAUCGUAAAAACGUUAGGUCAAGGUGUAGCUAAUAAAGUGGAGAGAAAUGGGCUACAUUUUCUUUACAAAGAACACUUAAACGGAAACUAUUAUGAAAUCUAAUGGUGUAAGGAGGAUUUAGUAGUAAACCAAGAAUAGAGAGCUUGGUUG
rnacentral:rRNA from 1 species